AGGUGAACCAAGACAUAACAGCCAGAGGGAAGAAAGGAACAUCUGGAAAACAUCAGUGCUGUGCCUACGGAAACUGAGCAUGCCUGGAAAAGGGCCAGAUGUCCACAGAUGUCCACCAGGGGCUCUGAGGAACCGCGCCAUGGCCGGUUGCUACACAAAUGAGACAACUUCCGUCAAUCUAUAGCUGGGGUGAAGCAGCACCUUUUCAAAGAUGAGAACGGCCUGCAGCCCAGCCAGGUCAGCCAAGGAGAACGAAUGCUGAGUGAACGGUUUGAACACCACCACAGCAGCCCGGUAAUCAACUUAGCAUCCUGUUAACAGCCCCGCUGAUCUUUGAACAUUCACCGGGAGCCUCGAGAAACGCCAGAGAAACUUGUUUUUAUUCAAAUACAGUCCAGCAGUCACCUUGGGGAAGAAUGUUCGGAUCUAAUUCAAGAGCACUGGAUGCCCAGCUUAUUUAAAAAGACUGUCUGUACACGAUAAGCAUUCCACGGCCACUGGCAUAACCCCAGAGCCAUCUGCCCUGGGCAAACGACUCUGCUUCAGCCUCCAACUUGCAAAAUCAUGGCAACGGAUGGCAGGAUGUCUAGGGUUCUCUUUGCCUCAUGCUACUUCCAAAUGAAUGCUUGGUAGUGUUGAUUUUUGCUAGGACUUUAUUCAAAGAGGGUUGGGCUAGCCACAGUGACUAAUGCUUCGGUACACCAUAGUGAUCUGCUACUUCCUAUCAGACCUAUAUUCACUUUCUGUCUUUAGAAGAUCAGGUUCAUGGAUCGUAGGCUGGUUUGAAAUUUGUAUAUGACCAAGUAUGGCCUUGAACUUUCUGAUUCUCCUGCUGUCAUGCCCAAUGUGCUGGGAUUAUAGGCUUGAACUACCACACCUAUUCUAUGGGGGUCUGGAGAUAUAACCCAGUACUUUAUGAAUUCUAGGCAAGCACUUUGCCAGCUGAGCCAUAUCCUCAGUCCCCUAUUUACUCCUAUAUGUUUAAGAGACAGUCCAGCAUCCUUACUUGGGCAAUAAGCUCAGGAUUCACAUUAACCAUCCAUUAUAAAUUGCCUAAUAUAAAAUAGCAACUCAGUUGGCAACAUUUCUGAACUAGAAGAAGGCAUACUGUGAUAUAAUGUUGCAUUCCACACCUGUGUAAUAAUGGAGCUGUCCCACCUCUGUCAAUGGGAGAACUACAAAGGUUCUAAUGAUUUAUCCAUCCAUUCAGACAUUACCCAGUAUUUACACAGGUCACAUAUAAAUGGGUCUUCCUUAGCUGGAGCUUCCAUUUUGAUAAAUCUGGACCCCAGAUUAAGUGAAUUCCUCUCAAGGCACUUGGUUCUGUGAAAAAUCUAUUAAUACCAACCCAACUGAACUGAGUCUUAGUAAGUCAACUGAAUCUCAUGCAACAGGACAAGGCUCCUUUGAAUCACACUCCAGUGAAGCGGUUUUUAAAAGAGGGGGUGGCUGCAGCCUGGGCUUCAGGCCCUUUGGCUUACAGAGACCCCGAUGCCUCUGAAGAACCAAGUAGGUUGGAGACUUCUCAGCUCAGAAGGCCAUCGAGCUGAAGUGGCUCUUCAGGAGUGUCACGCUAUCACAUUCCCCAGGAGACUCAAGGAGAGUCUGGUCAUCUGUGGUGGGAACCAGGUACCUCUGCCAGCUACUUCUGUGCUGGCAAAUGCUGCCUCAUAAGCAGCUCUGGUCAUGCUAUCAAUGAAUAAAAUUAAAAUCAAUUUAUUUUUAUUUCUGCCCUGCUGAAUCCGAACAUAUAAAAUUAUAGGUCACAAAAUGUCCGUUUACAGAGUAUUCAAAAUGGCCUUGUUUCACUCUGGGGCUGUCCUCAAUGUUUCUAUUUCCUGUCUUCAAAGACUCCCAGGAUCCCUGUACAAAAUUGACCUUUAUACUGUUUUGAAACAUGGAAAAGGGUCUU